rnacentral:rRNA from 1 species
CAGAGACUGCAAGCGUUAUUCGGAUUCACUGGGCGUAAAGGGUGCGCAGGCGGCCAAGUGUGUGAGGCGUGAAAGCCCGGGGCUUAACCCCGGAAUUGCACCUCAAACUACAUGGCUAGAGCAUUGGAGAGGGUAGCAGAAUUCAUGGUGUAGCAGUGAAAUGCGUAGAUAUCAUGAGGAAUACCAGAGGCGAAGGCGGCUACCUGGACAAUUGCUGACGCUCAGGCACGAAAGUGUGGGGAGCAAAAGGGAUUAGAUACCCCUGUAGUCCACGCCCUAAACGGUGCACACUAGGUCUUGGCGGAUUCGACCCCCCCAGGGCCCAAGCUAACGCGUUAAGUGUGCCGCCUGAGGACUACGGCCGCAAGGCUA